CAUUUUGGACAAUGGGGGCAACCCUGAUCCAGCCAUCCCGCGUGUGCGAUGAAGGCCUUCGGGUCGACAAGCACUUUUGGCAGGGAGGAAAAGGUGCUGGAGAAUACCUGUCGGCGCUGUCGGUACCUGCAGAAUAAGCACCGUCUAACUGCGUGCCGGCAGCCGCGGUAAUACGUAGGGUGCAAGCGUUAAUCGGAAUUACUGGGCGUAAAGCGUGCGCAGGCGGUUCGGAAAGAAAGAUGUGAAAUCCCAGGGCUUAACCUUGGAACUGCAUUUUUAACUGCCGGGCUAGAGUAUGUCAGAGGGGGGUAGAAUUCCACGUGUAGCAGUGAAAUGCGUAGAGAUGUGGAGGAAUACCGAUGGCGAAGGCAGCCCCCUGGGAUAAUACUGACGAUCAUGCACGAAAGCGUGGGGAGCAAAC
rnacentral:rRNA from 1 species